rnacentral:misc_RNA from 1 species
GAACAAGAUAACUAUCACCAACGACAAGGGUCGGCUCUCAAAGGAAGAGAUCGAGAGAAUGGUGCAAGAAGCUGAGAAGUACAAGUCUGAAGAUGAAGAGCUCAAGAAAAAGGUGGAAGCUAAGAACGGAUUGGAGAAUUACGCUUACAACAUGAGGAACACUAUUAAAGAUGACAAGGUUAGUUCCCAACUUCCAGCUGCUGAUAAGAAGAAGAUUGAGGAUGCCAUU